AAGAUGGAAUUAAACCAUGCACUUAGCCACUGAAGUACACAGAGAACAAGGAAAAAGCAGAUGAAAUUUUUUCACCAUUAAUGCUGUUAAGUAUUUGUUGGGGUAUUUUUGUUUCUGCUUUAAGACUUAAAGGAAAAAGUUCAAUCCUGGCUAGAAUAAAAUUCAGUUAUUUUCUAAAGACUAAAAUUCUUUGUGCUCUUUUGCUUAUGCACUAAAGGCUUUCUUAAUACCUAGGAUGAAAAUCAAAGCCUGGUACUUUGUAGGAAAAAAAAUUUUUUUGACCCUUUCUUAUUUGAUUUUGUAUAGACACUUUAAAACAGUUGAGCUGCCCAUGACUCCACAAAGCUGCUACUUCCACUGCUGCAGCUGAGGGAAGGUGAGGCCCAGUAAAUGAGACACAGAUCUGUUGGGAGUGAGAAUAGGAUAUGUGCUAAAGAGUAACCUCCCAAGAGCCCCCACCCAUCCUUCCAUCU